GUCACUGUACAAUUUGUGUUAGUGUUCUGGUUCCUAUAUCAGAAACAAAUUUGAGGCAAAUAAACCAAUGAAUAAGCUAUUCAUCACAACUCAUGGUAUGUCAAAUCAAGGCAGGAAGAUCAAAAUGAUACUGUAAAGCUCUAUCGCGAUCUCUGAUCCAAUGUUCUUGCCCUGACAGAAUCACUAUCUGCCAGAGGUGUCUCGCGCUCAAAUAUGUAAGGCUG
rnacentral:misc_RNA from 1 species